UUUCCGUAGGUGAACCUGCGGAAGGAUCAUUAUUGUAUAACCGAGGUGCGAGGGCUGUCGCUGACCCGAAAGGUCGUGCACGCCCGAGUGCCCUCACACACAUCCAUCUCACCCCUAAGUGCACCACCGCGUGGGUCACCCUUUGGCGUGUUCGGAGGGGGGCUUACGUUUUCACACAAACUUUGUAUGCAGUGUAGAAUGUAUUUUUUGUUUUUGCGAUCACGCAAUCAAUACAACUUUCAACAACGGAUCUCUUGGCUCUC
rnacentral:misc_RNA from 1 species